UACGUAGGGUGCAAGCGUUAAUCGGAAUUACUGGGCGUAAAGCGUGCGCAGGCGGUUUUGUAAGUCUGAUGUGAAAUCCCCGGGCUCAACCUGGGAAUUGCAUUGGAGACUGCAAGGCUAGAAUCUGGCAGAGGGGGGUAGAAUUCCACGUGUAGCAGUGAAAUGCGUAGAGAUGUGGAGGAACACCGAUGGCGAAGGCAGCCCCCUGGGUCGAGAUUGACGCUCAUGCACGAAAGCGUGGGGAGCAAACAGG
rnacentral:rRNA from 1 species